AGAGUCGUACAGGAAAGGAUUAGCGAACCACCCUGUCCCCGAGUCAUGCACUGGCAGUCGUGAGGCUGUUGGCGAAGCGUUGACAGGGGCACCUGCGGGCUGGGUAUUGAGCUGCGAAAUAAUCGCAAAUCGGGUGCCGACGCUGUUCAACAAAGCGGAAGGCCACCUUGACGGGAGCGUUAAGCGCCAGCGACCGUCGAACCCUGCGCAGUCUGAAGCCC
rfam:Environmental sequence XZS48174.g1, whole genome shotgun sequence.